UAAAUGAUUCAAUGACUACGAGUACCUACCGGUUUCAGAGGCACACUGCAGAUUUGAUUUCAAUUGGUUUUGUACAAUUGAGAAGAAAGCAAAACAAGAUCUGCUGACCAAAAUCGUUGACCAGUGUUACAUUUAUUGCUCAUUUAAAUUGUUAUUGACAAUUUUAAUACAGUGGCAUCGAUUGUUUUAGCGUUUAGUUUUUGACAAAAAUGUGCAUCGAUUUUUAAAGACUUGCGUAAUAUUGAGAUAAGUACAGUGUUAGUGAACUUGACUUGAAUGAGUUUAAACAGUAUUUCGUUUCCAAAUGUGCAAUAACAGGGAGAAUAUUAACCAAAGUUCUUAAAAUCCAAUGACACUGAAGGCAUAACCAAAUAAUAACUUUUGGGUUUCCUCGUCAUGUGAAGCAAUAACGAGAUAAUUGCUCUCAGGGAUAACCGCCAUUGGUGGGUUCACCCUUAUAAUUUUGUUCAACGCUACCAACCAUCACAGAUAAGCUCGCUCUUCUUCUGCAUGCAUGCAAGGCCUGCGAUUCUUAUCUCUUGUGAAUCAUGGUGAUUAAAGAAAUUCUCAUUUGGAAUUAGCCAAGUCAUUACAACUUUGUGUGAAGAUUCGUGUGCUAAUAAUUGUUAUCAUUUCCCAUCUCGGUUUACGUCUCGUCUUGUUGUCCCAGACAGACGUAAUAAUAUGUAUACGUAUGUACAUGCAUAUACAUACCUCCGUUCAUUUGCCCACUAUCGUGUUGAUUCUGGUGAUACUUAAUUUGAUUUUCUUUGGAGUACUAAUCCGUAGACAUUCUCAACAAUUAUAUUUUUUGGAUUUCCUAAUUAACCUUGAGAGACCGAGAAAGAAAUUUUAUGAACUCCAUCCACAUUAUUUUUCACAAGAUCGUAAAAUUUUCCAAAACAAGUUGCGUGAUUGUUUGUUGAAAGUGCCCAUACAUAUAUAUCUACGUAUUCCAAUGAUGCAAUGAUAAGUGUUAAUGGAUAUGGAAACAACGCGGAGGGUGUCGCAAGCCAAAGGGACUAUAAAUUCAAGACUGUGACAAACUAAAGUCUGCAACAGGCCAGUCAAAUCAUAAAUUACGACGCAUCAACUUCAUCCUGGUGGACGGCAGAAGCGCUGUUGCUAAGCAUGAAAGAGGGCAAAAUACAAAGUCGACGAGGAAAGUACAAAGACUAUCAAAUUUCUGGAUGAGGAAGCAGGAACGGGAAGUUUUUGAAGUGCAAGGAAUAAUGAGAAAACUUUCCUUUUCCUUCAUUUUCUGUAGAUGCUGGAAUAUCUUCCUCGCCGCCGCCCGAGUGGGGGGAGCAGAGUUGGGGAGAGAAAAUGGAGCCGCAGUAUUUAAUUUCAAAGACUCCAUCCAAGGAAGAUAAAACGAGAGUAGACGGAGGAGAGCAAAGCUUGGUUUUAAUUUUGUCAUAAAACGGCCAAGUAAUCGGAUUAGUUUCUCAAAUUCUCCAACUUUAAUAUAUACUUUCUCUCCUCUCUUUCUCUGUAAUCUAUUCACUUCAACUUUUCCUGCAAAUUUUCCAUUAUUAUUGAAAUUUCCCUUCGGGAUCCCCAUAUAAAUUUGGGUUCAGCUCUGAAUGGAAGUGUUGAUCCAGGGAAUUCUCAUUUCUCAGAAUGAAUGGUAGAUUCCACCAAGUACUCAACUUUGGUAGAGUUUUAGAGAGGAGAUACUUUCUCAAGUUUAAGAAAUUAAAGUUUUCCACAAUAACUUGA